rnacentral:rRNA from 1 species
UACGUAGGGUGCAAGCGUUAAUCGGAAUUACUGGGCGUAAAGCGUGCGCAGGCGGUUUUGUAAGUCGUCGUGAAAUCCCUGGGCUCGAACCUAGGAAUUGCGAUGGAGACUGCAAGGCUAGAAUCUGGCAGAGGGGGGUAGAAUUCCACGGUGUAGCAGUGAAAUGCGUAGAGAUGUGGAGGAACACCGAUGGCGAAGGCAGCCCCCUGGG